ACUGUUGUAGAAAGUCAUUAGCAGUCUUGAUUAUCUCACUGGUUCGACAUACGUUUUAGGGAUGUGAUGUAAUGCGAGGGAACAUUUAGUUGUCAGAUUUUAGGGCUGGAUCAGAUUUAUUCUUGCAGGAAAAGUCUAGUUGUCCUGGCAACCUGAAAUUGAUUUUCUUUUUGCUCUUGUCAGCUGAAACUGGUCCCCUUUGAAUCAUUCCUCUAAUUUAAUAUAGAGAGCUGUAUGUCCCCACCUGGUAACUGGAUUGUUCUUAAUGAUAGAUGUCUCCAGCAAAUGGUUCCUCUGUCCUACCUGAGCCAGGAACUGUGGUUUAUUACCACUGUCACCCUGUGCUGUCCCCUUUGUGGUUAUUUGUCUGUGGAGUUAGAUGUAGAAAGAACGUGGCAUUCAAAUAAUUAAGACUUUAAUCAGGCCCGUGGAACAGUGAUGUAAUUGGCAGCCAAUCAUAUCCCUUCAUUUUCAGUUACUUCGGGCCUGGGUGGGAUUCCAGUGAGCUCCAGGAGGGGGAGUUAUUUUGGGGGGAUGCCUAGCAGUUUUGUAACUUAGGGAUGGCCAUGUUAUGGCUCAGAACACAGAGAGAAAGGGGAGGUUGCCCCUAUCUAUUCUCUCUGUCAAAGAUAGGGAGGUGGUCUACAAAAUACAGAAUUAACAGUUAAUCAGAAAUAGAUACCCACAGCAGACGAGGAAGAGGGAAAAGAACCUGUCUCUUUGUUAGAUGAUCGCAGACCUUGUGGGCUACAACUCCCACAUCUCAGGAUAGAGAGGAAAGAGACCUUCUGGCAAGGAUCUGCUGCCAGUCAUUUUGAUGAAACCUGGAAAUCAGCAGAGAUCCAGAAGUGAGGAGAAGAGGAGAUGGACAGCAGCCAUCACAGAACCAGGUGUCCGGAGUGUACAGUCUGCCCACUUCAUUGUGAUUCCUGGGACAGUUCUAGAACCACUAUUUCCUAGAUGGUUUAGGAGUCUUUGAAGAGAAGCCAUUUUUACCAGGAGUCAUAACAGGGUCACUUAACCUUUUUCUAGCUUCAAUGUUGGAACAUCCUGACACAGUGGAUGGAGUGUAGGCUGUGGAGAUGGAUUGUUGGGGUUUAAGUCCAGGAGUCUCUGCUUUGUCACCCCAUGACCUUGGCCAAGUUGUUUAGUUUCUGUGAAUUGACAUUCUCCUCUGUCAAAGGGCUACCGGGACUGACAAAGCUUAUGUGACAUGAUGCACGGGAAACGCUUAAUAGCGUACAUACAUGAAGCAUUUAAUCGACAUUGCUAAGGUUGUUAUUGUUCAGAAGAUAUUUGAGAAGGUGAAAACACUUACCACUCUUUUACCUAGUUAUGGAUAAGGUAGGGAAAUGCCAGCUUGGUUGUCAAAUAGGCAGUGGCUGCGUUUGUAGGGCCAUGUAUACUUGCCAGUAGUAAUAUGGUAGAGAAAGAUUGUGUGUCUUGAUGAGGAAUGUUCCAAAAUCAGAUUGCAGGAAUAUGCAGGGAGGAUGAAGGGGUGGAUCAUUUUUGUGAAUUGCUAACCCCAUAAUCUCCCCCUCUGUUUUUCUCUCCUGAGAAUAACCAUCUUGAGUGAUUGGUAUGUGUCUACUUCCCCUGAACCUUUAUAUAGCUGAUAUACUUUGGUUGAGGACCUUCCGAAAUCAAUUAUAUAAAGUUUUAUCCGUUGUUCUUGAAUACCCUCUCCUGACUACACCUUGAACAGUCAACUAACUGUCAGUUAGGUUGGGAUUUUGUCUUUCUUCCAGCACUCUGCUUGACCUGUACAUAGUCUUUCUGGGUCCACAAGCACAGUGAACCUGUUUAAACCUCUGCCAGCAGGGCCUUGGGAGAUGUGGCCUUUCACAUUGUCUGUUCCCAACCCAGGUUGCCUCUUCCCUACCUCCCCAUUUUCUCUGUUCUCUUCUAUCCCUCCUUUGUUACCUACCUUUCUUCCUGGCCUUCUUAUAAAGUUAAAGCUCUUGGUGGCUUAACAUGAAGCUCAAUGACAAGGUAUUCAUAUGAUGUGAUGAAUUCAUGGAGAAGCGGGCUGUGGCCAUCUUGUCCCCUCUUUGAGUUACCAGGUUCCUCCCUGAUAUGACUUCCUGGCUUUCCUUGUCUGUAACUCUGUGGGACUGGAUUGUCUAUGUUGAAACCACAAGCCUGUUUUGUAGCCAUGUGAGUUAGCACUCGGCAGUCUUAGGAAGCCAUGGUGGGGUGUGAUGCAUUCAUGAGUUGUAUAAUUUCUUGUUCUGUAUACAGCUGAUAGGAGGGUGGUCUGUGUACACUUCUCUCCUCUGGCUCCUGGCAGAGAUCCACCGAUCCCAAGAACAGAGAGCUCAGAACCUCAGCCAUGAGCCCUGGGCUGUAUUUCCAAGGCAGCCUCAGGUAUCUUAUGUGUGGUAUAUCCUUGCCUCCUCUUGCUUUCCUCUGGACUUCUCUUUACACACUACAUCUUCACAUGUGUUAUCUCAGGAGAUGGCUCUCUCUGCCAAGAACUGCUUCAUGCUCGCCUCAGUUUCUCCUUCUCCUAAGCAGGAGCUUUCCAUGUGGAAGGAUACUUCCAUCUGCCCCCAUCCUAUAUGUUUGAGCUUUCAGGAUCCCAUUCUACACAGCCUCCUGUUCUGGUGGCAUCUCUCCCUUUUGGAUCAUGGUUCAGGGGCUGGCCUUGAAGGUACCCUGCCUUAUACUGAUUCAAGAGGAAGCCUGUUUUAGGAGCAGAGCUCUAAAGAGCAGCUGCCAGCCUCUGCUCAGUUCUAUUUAGCCCCUCUUCUCUAGCGCAGUGGGAGGGGCAUGCCUGCUGUAGAUGCUGGGCCACUGCAGUUAGGUUGGGAUAUUGUCUGUCUUCCAGCACUGAGGUUCCUAAGGGUGUCACCUUCUCUCAGAAACAUUUGCCUCUUACAACGAGGAAGUGGUUUUCACAGUGACCUCCAAAUUUCUCACUUUGAUUUUUUUUUUUUUUUACCCCUCCUGCUUUGAUCAUUUAUCACCAUGGAUUGAACUCAGAGCCUAACUCUGCUACAGAGGUGCAUCCCAGCCUCUGCUCGUUUAUCUCCUUUAAGAAGACUGUGCAGUCAUUCACCCUAUUACCGGGAAAGCAGACAGAGUUAAGGUGCUGUGUUUGUGAAAUUGGGGAAAUUACAGCUUUGUUUUAUGACUCUGGCCUUUGGGGAGAGUCCAGGGUCAGACUCCUCCCUUGAUGUCCUCGAUAAAUCCACUUUCCACUAGCACUGUUAGGAUCUUAACUAGAUUGCUGCUUGUGAAACAUCUUCUCCUGACUUGAAAUUAAAUGCUGUUCCAGUGACUCGUCCGUAAUAAUUCUUUAUGUUUAAACUGCUUCUCAUUCAGAAUAUAAGUAGAACAAAGCUACAGGAGGCAGGAACCACACAGAAAGAUCAAGCCUAGGACACUGUGCCCAGCCUGUGCCCACCAGAUUGUGUGUAUGGCAAAAUCUGUGAAAUGGGGCCAGCAGUCAGGAAGGGCUCCUUUGUGAGUGUCUCGGGCUUGUUUAGAAAUAGCACCUCUCAGUAUGUGGGCACAUUCGACACGAGAGAAAUAAGUAUCUAAAUGGGUAGUGCCCACAUGUCCUCCUCCAUGACUGCACCACCUUCCUCUGUGCCACGCCAGUUACAGAAAUGCUGCUCUUAGGCUGUUACAUGACUAGGAUCUGAAUUUUGAAUUGUUUUUCAUUGUUUAAUACAACUUUAUAUAAUGUUUUAACUUUAACGGAAUGUUAAAGUUCUCUGUAAGUACUAAGCUUAGUAUACUUUAUUCCUUAAACAUAAGAUAAUAAGUAUCCAAAUAACAGAGUGUGAAGACUGUUAGAAGUAUUAUUAAAACAUAAUUUUGAAAAUUUGGAGAGCUCUUGGAAUUUUGGUUUAUUGUCUUUUAAUUUCAAAGGGUAAACAAUGUAAUUUAAGGCAACCACACUUUAAAAUAUUAAAAUAAAACAGAAUAAAACCUAGUAGUGUCCCAGCAAAGAUGCAUAGACUUGAAAGUGUGAGCUCUAAGGUUGCUUGUAUUUGAAUGGUGUGCACAGACAGCUUCAGUGGGAAUGAAUAACAAAGCCUAUUUAAGCCUUAAUUUAAGUGACUUUAAUGAGGGAUAGAUGUGCCUUGUAUGCUUAGUUGUACAUAUUAAAGGAUGUCUGUAAGGACCCAAGAUAGUGUUUAGUGCAUGACCUGCCCGAAGGCCAGCCUCUGUGGAUGGUGGCCUGCUUAUUGGGUGGCACGCUCAUAGGUGCUGGCUGCAGUACUCCUUGGUGUCCACAUUGCCUUGCUUUGUCCUGGCUUUUCUUUCUAAUCCAGACCUUGGUACCAGCCUGGUACUGGAGUUGUUGCAUGCACAGUGAAGGGCAGCCACUUAGUGGAGGUUUCUGUUUUUGUUUUUGUUUUUUAAGAUCUUGUUGAUGCAGAGCUAUUGAAUACCUGGUGGAAUCUUACCCCAUAGGGUGCAGGGGAAAGUUGAUGAUGGUGAUGGAGAGGUGGGUUCUUUUUCACUAUUGGCAGAGGUGAGUGGGCUUGGUCUGGAGUUAUAGCAGAUGGCGGCUGGUAGGAAGGGUGGGUAGAAGAGAGACCCACGGAGAGUUUGAUGUUUGAAGUCUGAGUUUGUGAUAGAGCUGAGCCAUUGUAGACCUGCAGCAUGUUGUAGUAUUGUGUAGGGCAAGGAAGGCAGGGCUACUUUCUAGUCAGCCCCACAUGCGUGUUUGCAUAGCUGUUCCUAAGUGUGUGUGAGUAACGGGGCCAGUGGCUUCAGGGACUUACCCAAGGCCAGAAAGCUAGGAAAAAGCUUUCAUUUGACUAAAGAGUUCAGUCUGGUAAUGACUAUGAGUGACAGAAACGGGCAGCAGGAACAGGGAGGGAGAGGGCCUCUGCCCCAUUUCCUGCACCCCAGGCAGCUAGUGAGUAGGAGUUCUAAGUUUCAGUAUUUGAUAGCAUCACCUCCUCUGCUUUCCCAGAAACUAUUCCUCGAAGUAUGAAUUGAGUUGUUCCUCUGUGGGGAGCUGUCUCAGUUCAGAGCUGACUUUCUGCUCUGGUUGUUUACUGCAACAGGGCAACAACUGGUAAUUUAGAGGGAGGAUAAUCAAAUGGAAAAAAUAAAACCGAGCACACUAAAUGAAGCAAAACCCCAGUGCUGUGCAGCCGGGGGCCUGGGUGUGGGUCUCAGGACCUGUGGGAAUUGGACAAGUACAUUUAUUUCCUGUAACUUGGAGGAGAAUGGUUUCCAUGUGAAAGAUUGUUCUGACAGUGUUUUGCACACUUAGUGUGGAUCAUAGGGUAACGAAAUGGAGGAGAUCAUGGACUUGAAUUCUCUUCUCCUAUGUGAAUUGUAGAAAUAAAGAACUGACCAGCACGUGGAAGUUGUGGAUAUAUAUCUAUAAAAUGUGGCAGGGACCUCAUAGUCCCCCUUUGUUCAAGAUCUGUGUGUAUCUGAGCUCCAGCAUGUAUGCAUACAUGCCUGGACAUACAUGGAAGUUGUUUUAGAUUGUGGUGGUUGAAGCUACUCACCCAGUGAGCAUCUACCCCAGGGGCUCUCCUCUGCCCUUUGCAAAGGCCGGCUGCCAGUAUUCUCUGAUUAUUAUUAUUAUUAUUAUUACUUAAUAAGCUCAGCUGUGCCUGCAUGAGGGAGUCAGCUGGAGAGACCCGUGAGCUUUAUUGAGCUCUUUUUAUUGGUGGAACUUCUCCCAUGCUUGCUGCUUGUGGCCACAAGGACUCACUGGUCAGAAGAGGAAGGGGAGAGAGUAUCUGGGGCAGAGGACAUAGCUUCUUGCUAUGAACCUGCUUUUCCUGGGCGUAGAUCUUUCACAGAGGAAGACAGAGGUUUCAGGGCUGUUUAGCUCCUGUGUCCUUGAGACUGUUGUGAGAAAUCUCUGAUUGGUGCUGCUUCAGAUGUGAGGCUCUCUUCCCCGCCCCAUGUGUGGCUGUGACUUGUGUCUUGGCUAUUCAGGUUUGAAUGAGUCAACACACUGUGACCCUGUGGUGUGCUUCGCAGCACACUAAAAUCAGUCAGAAGGCAAGGCUGCCUGUCCUGACCCUAGUGCCCACUCACUGCGCAUGGGUGAGAGCCUCUGGUCACUUCUAGAGUGCGCCUUCUCUAUGAUGGGGUUGAUGUGGAAAUCAAGAAGAAACAUUUUUGUUUAAAAGUAAUAUUGGACCCUUUAGAUCUCAGGCCAUUUGAAAUAGGUACCUAGGGGCCAUUAAGAUGACUCAGCAGUUAAAGAUGGAGGAUCAAGCCUAGUGACUUGAGUGUGAGCCUUAGAAUCCACAUGGUAGAUGGAGAAAACAAACUCUCAGAAGUUGACUUCUAAGACUUAUGCACUGACAUACAUGUCUUGCUUUUUCACACACAAAAUUGGAAGC
rnacentral:lncRNA from 1 species